CCCGACCAAUGAAAUCAGAAUUUUGGUCUGAGACCCAGGCAGAGAUGAGUUAAAAGCUCUCCAGGUGAUUCUAAUGUGCAGACAAGGUUAUAAACCCUGCUUUAGACAGAGGUCUUGCCUCCACGUUACGACCUGGCCUCCACGGAAUUCUCUGAUGCACCAUGAUUCAAGGAGUGACUAUGGAAGAGCCUUCCUGCAGGAUGGAGGAAUAAGCUAAAUGACACCCCCUCUAGGAAUUACCAGAUAGAUCCAGAAGUUCUGUAGAUGGUGCCCCAUUAUCUCCUAUGUCCCACUGCUGGAGAGGAGAAGUCUCAGCCUGAGCUGGCUCUGGUUCUUUGGAAAUAAUAUCCUUCUAAGCCUUCCCUUCUCCAGCUCCACGGAAUGAUGGACUGGGAACUGUCGGUCCUGAGGCCAGACUGGGGUCUUGGUUUCCCGGGCUAGAGUCCCCUGAGGCCCAGUAGACCAUUCAACUGCUGAGAAGAGACAAUGUGAGGGCCUGGAGGACAAAGCGGGGACCAAGGCUGGGUUCUGGGAGCCCAGUGCCUCAGGGUUCAGAACAGGAGAGGAAGUGAAAGCAGAGGAGAAUGUGAGCAGGAUCCAGGAAGGGUUCUAGUCCUUCGUUUUAGGAGCCAAUGGUAGGUGAUGUCAGAGUAGGUGAGUCAGCCUAGAUUCAAGGGCUGAGGCUACAAAGAUAAGAUCCUUUCCCAGUUUAAACAUUUCACCACAAUAUGCUCUUUGUUUUUGCACUGUCUUUGAAACAUGCAUCGUGUGUUUUCUCUCUCUCUUCCCUACCUCUACCCUACCUCACCCAUCUGGAGCCUUGGUUCUUAGAUUUGUUUUAGAGUUAGAUGUUAAAUGUUUUAGAUUUUUAAGUGAUGUUUUUCUCUAUUCACUUUUCAUUAUUAUUUCUGAUUUCUUUUGCUCUACUUACUUUUUUCAUAACAGUAGUUUAUAUAUUAGCAGCUCUCCAUAUCUGCCUCCUUAUUUUGAUUAUUUGUUUCAGACGAAGACAUAGGAGAAUAUCUGUGUGGCUUUGAGUUAGGCAAAGAUUUCUUAGAGGGGGCAUAAGAAGCACAAGCUAUAAAAGAAUAAAUUGAUAAAUUGAACUCCCUAAAAAUUAAUAAUGUUUGUUUCUUGGAAAACACCGUUAAAAAAAUGAAAAGGCAGAGCCAGACCCAGUGGCCUGGUGGUUAAGUUCCGUGUGCUCCACUUGAGUGAGUUGGGUUCAGUGUCCAGGUGCACACCUACACCACU
ensembl:lncRNA